GAUGAAGAACGUAGCGAAAUGCGAUAAGUAAUGUGAAUUGCAGAAUUCAGUGAAUCAUCGAAUCUUUGAACGCACAUUGCGCCCGGUAGUAUUCUGCCGGGCAUGCCUGUACGAGCGUCAUUUCAACCAUCAAGCCCCAGCGCUUGUGUUGGGGGCCUGCGGCUGCCGCAGCCCCCUAAAAGCAGUGGCGGGCUCGCUAUCACACCGAGUGCAGUAGUUCAUCUUCUCUCCGGUCUUGUGAGGCGGGUUCCGGCCGUGAAACACCCCACUACAUUCAAGGUUGACCUCGGAUCAGGUAGGAAUACCCGCUGAACUUAAGCAUAUCAAUAAGCGGAGGA
rnacentral:misc_RNA from 1 species